rnacentral:rRNA from 1 species
UGGGGAAUAUUGGACAAUGGGCGAAAGCCUGAUCCAGCCAUGCCGCGUGUGUGAAGAAGGUCUUCGGAUUGUAAAGCACUUUAAGUUGGGAGGAAGGGCAUUAACCUAAUACGUUAGUGUUUUGACGUUACCGACAGAAUAAGCACCGGCUAACUCUGUGCCAGCAGCCGCGGUAAUACAGAGGGUGCAAGCGUUAAUCGGAAUUACUGGGCGUAAAGCGCGCGUAGGUGGUUUGUUAAGUUGGAUGUGAAAUCCCCGGGCUCAACCUGGGAACUGCAUUCAAAACUGACUGACUAGAGUAUGGUAGAGGGUGGUGGAAUUUCCUGUGUAGCGGUGAAAUGCGUAGAUAUAGGAAGGAACACCAGUGGCGAAGGCGACCACCUGGACUAAUACUGACACUGAGGAGCGAAAGCGUGGGGAGCAAACA